rnacentral:rRNA from 1 species
GACAGAGGAGCCGAGCGUUAGGCGGAAUCACUGGGCUUAAAGCGUGUGUAGGCGGACCGUUAAGUACCUUGUGAAAUCCCACGGCUCAACCGUGGAACGGCUGGGUAGACUGGCGGUCUUGAGCGGCCUAGGGGCAGAUGGAACAGACGGUGGAGCGGUGAAAUGCGUAGAUAUCGUCUGGAACGCCAAAGGUGAAGACAGUCUGCUGGGGGCCUGCUGACGCUGAGACACGAAAGCCAGGGGAGCGAACGGG